rnacentral:rRNA from 1 species
AUGGCCCUCCCAAGAGAGAAGCAGGCGUUGGCGCUGUGCAGGCCGUCCAUGGCGAUGGAGACGCCCGGACAGGAAGGGCUCAAUCCGGAUGAACCAGCCCGCACCGAGCCCGGCCGCCUCAACAAGAGCUCGUCUCUCUGCUUGCCUGCGGCUCACCGGAGCCGCCAUCGCCGGCGACCGCCUCCCUCACCUUGUGCCCCUUCUCCUUCGCCUUUCUUCCUCUCUUCCCCGAGGAGCGGGGAGCCGACGAAUCCGUCGGUCAGGAGCUGGGCGGCGCCCUCCAUCAUCGUGGCCGUUUGGGGAGGGACGCGGUCCUGGUCGAUGCGGUGUGGGGCGGGCGACGUAGGGCAAGAGGUGGCGGCGGGAUGGAGGUACAUGCGAUGGGGCACCGGCAAACAGAGGCGGGCGGCGGAGGUGCUGCAGGAGCGGCGCUCGACCGCGAGGUGA